CUUCAGCUCAGGUCUAGUUUCAGAGCGUGUUAUAGCAGUAAGAUAUGCAAAUAAUUCUUCUCUAUACUUAUGAAAACCAGCCUGUCCUGACCCUGCAGCUGUGGCAGUGGAGUCCAGUCCUGGACUCUGAGGUUCUCCCAUUCAGUGAUUAACAUUGAAGCCCUGCACAGACCGCUCACCAUGGACAUCAGACUCAGCUUGGUUUUCCUUGUCAUUUUUAUAAAAGGAGUCCAGUGUGAAGUGAAGCUGGUGGAGUCUGGGGGAGGCUUAGUGCAGCCUGGAAGUCCUCUGAAACUUUCCUGUGCAGCCUCUGGAUUCACUUUCAGUAGCAACUGGUUGAACUGGAUCCACCAGGCUCCAGGCAAGGGGCUGGAAUGGGUUGCAUCCAUUAAUCCUGAUGGUAGUAGCACCUUAUAUCCAGACACAGUGAAGGGCCGAUUCGUGGUCUCCAAAGAUAAUGCCAAAAACACCAGAUACCUGCAAAUGAACAAUCUGAGGUCUGAGGACACAGCCAUGUAUUACUGUGCAAGAACCACAGUGAGUGAAUGUUACUGUGAGCUUAAACACAAACCUCGCACAGGGUACUAG